AAACAUGCGAUGAAGGAAUGAGUACCCGCAAGCGGGCCGUACCAGAGAGUCGGGUGGGUGGAAACCGACACGGAGACGAGCGGGGAAGAUGGUUCUGGAGCUUUCGGUGUCGAGACCUUUGCAAGCAAGCAAGGGUUGAGGCUUCGACGGGCAAGCCCGUUACAGCUGGUGCGUCUGGACAGACGCGUGGAGGCCGCUUUUGUGAGAAAGCGGUGAAGCAAGGUGGUACCACGGAGGCUACAGCUUUCGUCCCUGCA
rnacentral:ncRNA from 1 species